rnacentral:rRNA from 1 species
AGAGUUUGAUCCUGGCUCAGGAUGAACGCUAGCUACAGGCUUAACACAUGCAAGUCGAGGGGCAGCAUGGUCUUAGCUUGCUAAGGCCGAUGGCGACCGGCGCACGGGUGAGUAACACGUAUCCAACCUGCCGUCUACUCUUGGACAGCCUUCUGAAAGGAAGAUUAAUACAAGAUGGCAUCAUGAGUCCGCAUGUUCACAUGAUUAAAGGUAUUCCGGUAGACGAUGGGGAUGCGUUCCAUUAGAUAGUAGGCGGGGUAACGGCCCACCUAGUCAUCGAUGGAUAGGGGUUCUGAGAGGAAGGUCCCCCACAUUGGAACUGAGACACGGUCCAAACUCCUACGGGAGGCAGCAGUGAGGAAUAUUGGUCAAUGGGCGAGAGCCUGAACCAGCCAAGUAGCGUGAAGGAUGACUGCCCUAUGGGUUGUAAACUUCUUUUAUAAAGGAAUAAAGUCGGGUAUGCAUACCCGUUUGCAUGUACUUUAUGAAUAAGGAUCGGCUAACUCCGUGCCAGCAGCCGCGGUAAUACGGAGGAUCCGAGCGUUAUCCGGAUUUAUUGGGUUUAAAGGGAGCGUAGAUGGAUGUUUAAGUCAGUUGUGAAAGUUUGCGGCUCAACCGUAAAAUUGCAGUUGAUACUGGAUAUCUUGAGUGCAGUUGAGGCAGGCGGAAUUCGUGGUGUAGCGGUGAAAUGCUUAGAUAUCACGAAGAACUCCGAUUGCGAAGGCAGCCUGCUAAGCUGCAACUGACAUUGAGGCUCGAAAGUGUGGGUAUCAAACAGGAUUAGAUACCCUGGUAGUCCACACGGUAAACGAUGAAUACUCGCUGUUUGCGAUAUACAGCAAGCGGCCAAGCGAAAGCGUUAAGUAUUCCACCUGGGGAGUACGCCGGCAACGGUGAAACUCAAAGGAAUUGACGGGGGCCCGCACAAGCGGAGGAACAUGUGGUUUAAUUCGAUGAUACGCGAGGAACCUUACCCGGGCUUAAAUUGCAGAUGAAUUACGGUGAAAGCCGUAAGCCGCAAGGCAUCUGUGAAGGUGCUGCAUGGUUGUCGUCAGCUCGUGCCGUGAGGUGUCGGCUUAAGUGCCAUAACGAGCGCAACCCUUGUUGUCAGUUACUAACAGGUUCUGCUGAGGACUCUGACAAGACUGCCAUCGUAAGAUGUGAGGAAGGUGGGGAUGACGUCAAAUCAGCACGGCCCUUACGUCCGGGGCUACACACGUGUUACAAUGGGGGGUACAGAGGGCCGCUACCACGCGAGUGGAUGCCAAUCCCCAAAACCUCUCUCAGUUCGGACUGGAGUCUGCAACCCGACUCCACGAAGCUGGAUUCGCUAGUAAUCGCGCAUCAGCCACGGCGCGGUGAAUACGUUCCCGGGCCUUGUUCACACCGCCCGUCAAGCCAUGGGAGCCGGGGGUACCUGAAGUGCGUAACCGCGAGGAGCGCCCUAGGGUAAAACUGGUGACUGGGGCUAAGUCGAAACAAGGUA